GGGCAGGUACCGAAGCGGUCAAACGGGGUAGACUGUAAAUCUACUGGCUCUGCCUUCCAAGGUUCGAAUCCUUGCCUGCCCA
rnacentral:tRNA from 1 species